rnacentral:tRNA from 1 species
GGGAUAGUUGCUCAGUGGUAGAGUGCUUGCCUUGCAUGCAGUAUGCCCUGGGUUCGAUCCUCAGUACCA